rnacentral:rRNA from 1 species
CCUACGGGAGGCAGCAGUAAGGAAUAUUGGUCAAUGGACGAAAGUCUGAACCAGCCAUGCCGCGUGAAGGAUUAAGGCCCUCUGGGUUGUAAACUUCUUUUAUCUGGGACGAAAAAAGGGUAUUCUUACUCACUUGACGGUACCAGAGGAAUAAGCACCGGCUAACUCCGUGCCAGCAGCCGCGGUAAUACGGAGGGUGCAAGCGUUAUCCGGAUUUACUGGGUUUAAAGGGUGCGUAGGUGGGCUUGUAAGUCAGUGGUGAAAUCUCCGGGCUUAACCCGGAAACUGCCAUUGAUACUAUAGGUCUUGAAUUAUCUGGAGGUAAGCGGAAUAUGUCAUGUAGCGGUGAAAUGCUUAGAUAUGACAUAGAACACCAAUUGCGAAGGCAGCUUACUACGGAUAUAUUGACACUGAGGCACGAAAGCGUGGGGAUCAAACAGGAUUAGAUACCCUGGUAGUCCACGCCCUAAACGAUGGAUACUCGACAUCAGCGAUACACUGUUGGUGUNUGAGNGAAGANAUAGUAUCCACCGNGGAGAGAGCGCAAGAUGUUAAUUACAAUUAGAGUUAGAGGCGNGNGACGNGCGACGGACGACGACGAGGGAGGAGG